ACCUAUAUGGACCCCUCCAACCGGAUGCAUGGUUAAUAUAUUUGAACAAGUGUGGUAGUGCGACACGAGAAUAGAAGAGUAGUUUCAUCUCAGCUUGCAGGAGUGUUGUUUGACUGCCGGCCGGGCGCCGGAGACAGAAUCCCUAGCUGUAAGGAAGGGUUAUAUAUAUUUCUGGCUGAACGAUAAUGGUGUUUCAUGGAUAAAGUAACAAUUCUAGAAACUCUGUGUUUUAGGACGUACUCACCUCAAAGGCGUUACAGAGCGAUCCUGAUGAAACUGCUGAUUACAGUAUACAUGGAGUCGUCAAUGAAGCGACUUAUAGAGUACUAAAGAGUUUUCUCGAAUUAGGUUAAACCCUACUUAUAACUCUUAUAAAGCAAAACCACUAGUACAGAGAAGCUUUCUACAGACGGUUUGUAACCCAUUUGCACAAGCGUUUUUCAGAACCGCCGGCGCUAUGGGCCAGUGGAAAUGCUGAAAACGAUUUGCACUGGCGGUUCAAUUAAGACAACCACCUAUGGAAAUUGAUUUCCACAUAUGGUUUAGUUAAGCCAACUGCCAGUGAAAAUGCUUGUCCAGAAAUUAUAAAUUGGGUUUUAAAAAUAAGAAAAAAAAUAAUCCUAGGGAAGGCCCAGUGGCUAGAUCCACUUGCUGCCCUUCACUGCCCUUGCCCGGUCACCUUGUGUGCGCUAGAAAGCCAUGGAAGGACCGCAGUAGCCACCCAAACUAUGAAGCCCCCAGAUCGCUAUAGGGGACUCUAGCACUAGGCUGGUCGCACCGUGCCCCUACAUCCCGCGAGGCCUGCAGCAGCUGCCCAGAGUGUCAAGCCCCCAGGUUACUAUAGGGAGCAGACUCUAGCACUAGGUUGUCCGCACCUGCCCCCUUCUCAUC
rnacentral:lncRNA from 1 species